rnacentral:rRNA from 1 species
UACGGAGGGGGUUAGCGUUGUUCGGAAUUACUGGGCGUAAAGCGCGCGUAGGCGGACUAUUAAGUCAGAGGUGAAAUCCCGGGGCUCAACCCCGGAACUGCCUUUGAUACUGGUAGUCUUGAGUUCGAGAGAGGUAAGUGGAAUUCCGAGUGUAGAGGUGAAAUUCGUAGAUAUUCGGAGGAACACCAGUGGCGAAGGCGGCUUACUGGCUCGAUACUGACGCUGAGGACGAAAGUCAGGUGGGAGAAACAGGAUUAGAUACCCCGUGUCAUC